UACAGAGGUCUCGAGCGUUUGUUCGGAUUCAUUGGGCGUAAAGGGUGCGUAGGUGGCUUGGUAAGUCGGAUGUGAAAUCCCGGGGCUCAACCCCGGAACUGCAUUCGAUACUGCCGGGGCUGGAGUACUGGAGAGGAGAUCGGAAUUUACGGUGUAGCAGUGAAAUGCGUAGAUAUCGUAAGGAAGACCGGUGGCGAAGGCGGAUCUCUGGACAGUUACUGACAC
rnacentral:rRNA from 1 species